rnacentral:lncRNA from 1 species
ACAAUUAUGAACUAUUUUAAUAAAAUAAACAAGGUUGAGCCAUGUAACUAGAUAUCUAUACAUACACAAAUACUCUCUGUAUUUAUAUGUAAUCUUAACCAUCUUUUGAAUGUUUGUAAAUACCUGUUUUUUUAAUCGAGAAUUUCUAAGUUUUACGGUAAUUUAUCUUGUUGGAAAAUGCUUAGAGGCUUUCUUAAAAUUAAACAGCAUAUACAUUAUGUUAAAAUAAAACAAACAAAAGUGGUGGCAGUGCUGCUGCUGUGGCCCACUUUAGGUCAUGCCAGGAAUCGCCAGCAUGAAUCAGAGGCCCUCCAGAUGUUGGGCUCCAACUCCCAUCAGCACCAGCAUUUUUCAGGCUUGAUGGGAGUUGCAGCCCAGCCCUGCAACAUCUGGAGGGCCACAGGCUCCCAGCCACUGUGGCAGCGAGUGACCCUCCCAUCCUUCCUGCGUAAAGUUAUAUUUCGGGGAAAGAAUGUUACCGCCAUGGUGAGAGUGCCCCUGAGAGAGAAUAAAUCUCCUUUCUCACUCUGUAAAGAGAACAAACAGUACAUCUGUUCCUGACCAGUGAUCCCUGUUUCCCCUCGUGCAUACACACACACACACACACACACACACACACACACAGAGUCCUGUGAGGAAAAGCAGUGGUUCUGUAUGUCUGAACUGGCACAUCAUGAGCUACACCGGAAGAGAGGAAGAGAGAGAUGGUCCUAGCCAGCUCUUGUUUAAAGCCUUUUAAUGAUGUGGGUCUGACUCUGCUGGGUUUUCUCACAGAAGCGUACAAAAGAGAUGCUUGUUUUCCAGCGCUCGGUGGUGCUUGCCUUGCAAAAUGCAGCUCGAGGCAAUACUACUGUAUUCCCACUUCCCUCACACCCCACACCCCACACCCCUCCUCCUUCUCCUCCAUGCAUUUCCAUUUCCAGAACUGUGAUUCUUCAGGGAGCCAAUUUUCAUACUGCUAACUGAUGGAUGGUUUACAUGAACUGUUGAGAAUACACACAGCUUGACUAAGCACAUCUCUUGAUUUCAGGACAUCUUUUAGGUUAAAAAAACAACAACCCACACCCUCUGUUUUUCAUGUGCAAGGUUUUCUAGCAAGGUUACUUGUCACCACAAGGGCAGUGGGAAGAUGAUGCCUCUGGGCUAUUUGUUAAGCAAAAUCAGCUCUCCAAACCCUCUUCUGUGCGAAGGAGGAAGGCCUGGAAACCAGCUGAAACCAUUGGGGAGAGGGGGAGUCACAACAUUCCCCUCCAAGAACAAGAAGGAUUCCUGAGGGUGAAGAUGCUUGUUUGUUGAGCAAAUGUUUAGCUUCGAGUUAGAAACAUUCGUGUCAAAACAACAAUCGUGUGGCAUCAGCAACAAAUUUAUUAUAGUAUAAGCUUUUAAGGACUAGGGUCUGUUUCAUCAGAUGCUUGAUAAAUGUUGAAUAUGGCCAUGAGCUUUAAUCUAGGGUUCACCUUAUCACUGAUUUUGAUUACUUUUUGAAUAUCUUAAAUGGUUUUUUUCUGUUUCAUUUUUACUGAUAAUUUUAUUGUUUUAUUCUUUUUGUAAACCGCUUUGAUCUAGCCUGGUUUUAUUACAACCAAUUGGGAAAUAAAUAUUUUUUGGGAAAUAAAUGUUAUCUGCCUAAGUUGGCAGGUAUAUAUACAUAUAUCCACAGGAGGGGGGGAGAGUGGAAUAAACUGCAAAAAUUGCAGACUGUAACAACCGUAUUAGAGCAUAAAUGUAUGUAAAACAAUUACAGCGACCAAUCCCAUAUCAGUGACUGUGAUAGCACAUACAUUCUAGUGUUGGUAAGCUAUUUAACAACAGUAGUGGGUUAAAAACCCAUUAUCUCAAUUCAGGCUGCAAGUAAUAGAUUUGAACUUGCUGUUCCCAGAGGGGCAGCUAUCUUAGGGUGCAAGCUCAUUGAUAUCUCAGUUUAUUGCACCAAGCUUUAGGGUUGGGGGAGUUUGGAUAUGGUGGUCUCCUUUCACCCCACCUAGAACAGCUCUGCCAGGCUAAAGUCACUCCACUGGCACUGAGUUCCCCAUUCCGCCUGCUGGUAGUAAAAGUGGUAGCAGCCUGCAGAAAACCCAGAAAUGGAACAUUCUGAGCAGUGUUCGAAAUUCCCCAGCUGCCAGGCGCGUUUUGCGUGGGUCCAGUUGCGCUCAUGUGGAGAUCUCUGGAUGCCAGGUUGGCAACUGACAUCUCCAUCUGUCUGGCCCCUCCAGCUUUCUUAAGUUGGUAAGAAGAAGAACUUAUUUCCUGCAUUUAUAUCCCACCUUUCCUCCAAGUAAUACAUGGUUCACACACACCCCUCAGUUAAUCCCUAUGAUGACCCUGUGAGGUUGGUUAAGAGGUUGUGACUGGCCCAAGGUCACCCAGUGAGCUUCAUGACUGAGUGGGGAUUUGAACCCUGAUCUCCCAGGUCCUAGUCCUGUUACUCUGCAAAAGGGAUUUUAGUUCACCCCAGGUCUCCAGGCCAAAUGAAGACAUACAGCACAUGGAAGGAACUAAUUUUUAUUCAUGAAUCUGCAUGAGCGGCCCAGAGGAUCGCUCCAAAAAGCUGGGCUGAGAAUACAAAAUUCAAGACGCUUUUAUAACUUCUGACUAACUCGUGAACGAUCUCUUUCAAAGCAAUAUAACUGGGUAACAAAACGUGUGGACAGCUCAUGCAUACGUUUUCAUUGGUUUGCAGAAACAUGUUCUUAUCUGCAUGUGCAACACCAUGGCAACAGGCAGUUUUAAGCAAAGUUUCAUUUUCUACUGCCAGUCUUUGAGUCACUCUUUCUCUUCCUUUGAAGUUCUCCUGGUCUUCUUCUGAAGGCACUGCUGUUCUGUGCCAACAGAUAAGGAAAGUGAGGAGGACCCUAGACGGCUUCUUUGCUAGCAAAACAUUGAAUUGCAGCUUCUAUUCACAGAUGGGGGUGCAGAGAGAAGAAAGCUUAAACUUUCAGGUUUAAAAGGACGAAAUGUUCUCAAUCCUUGUUUUACUUAAAUGACAGAAAUAAUCUGAUUGACACUGAGCAUCUCUGGCUUUGGAAUUUAACGGACAUAGCAUUAAUUCUAGAAAACAAGUGCAUUACAUUACCUUAGCUAGCCAACAUCAGAAUUUAGACACUUCAAGGCUAUUUGACCACUGCUUGCAGCUCACAGGUCACAUGACACUCACAGCCACACGUCUGCCCGCAGAUUUCUUACCUGGCAACCACAGUGCCUCACCCCUGCUUAAAUUGGACAUGGAAUAAGCCUUUUGUAGCCCAUAGAAAGCUUUUCUAAAACUUAAUUGCAGUGCAGGUGCAAUUUCAGGGGGGUUAUAAUGGAGGGAAGGUAAUUGUGGCACUCAUGUGGUGCCCAUAACCAUUCAUCUGCUUUGCGCAUGUGUCCACAGUCUCCCAAAGGUUGGCAACCCCUGGCUCUAGUUGCUCUCCCAGUGCUUAAAAGGCUGGAAGCAAAGUUUGGUGCCAUCUGGGGUGGAAAUAAAUCAGGCUCUAGGUGUUUAGAGUAAGAAACAAAAGGGAAAUCUGUGUUAAGAUCGCUAGACUACAGUUUACCUACUCAUGUCUGUGGCCUUUCAAGUCAGCAAGACAGAAGGUUAAUUAAUGCAGACACCGUGUUAAUUAGAUUACACAUAGGCCUUGCUGGUGCGGGUUCCAGUUACAAAAUGUUCCUCAAGGGACAAAGCAAUAAAUUAAAUCGGUUAUCUUUGGAAGUAUAAACACUAGGAGUGAAGACAUGCCCAUAUCCCCAGUGCCUUCUGGAUAACAGGCAUCGUUCUUUUUCACUAUAGUUUUUAAAGGGCAUAGCAGGGUUUUUAAAAAGAACUUCAAAAUGCUGAAGGUGAAGUUUGACCCAGCAAACAAGUCACAAUAAAACACUGGUUUGUGUAACAUUGCCAGUCACCUUGAGCUUAAAAGCGUAAGAAUCAGAAGACUCUGAUGUCCUACAAAGGUAAAGAACUAUAUCUAUAUUGCAAUAAUUAUUUCUAAUUGUUGGGAUAUUUUGCCCGUGUGCAACUUCCUUUGCAAAAUGACAACCCCCGCCCCCCAAAGAAUAGAAUUAAGUUUUUACUCAUUUAUAUGUGUGGAGUAUUGGCAGAAGAUUAGGAGAUAGGAGAGCAUUAUCAACUAUGGUGUGGGUUAUUUCUUGCAUUGAUGCUUCAGCCAAUUUUCAUAUGAAAAUUGCCAACAGCACAGCAGGCAUUAGAAAGGCUAGUUGCCUAGUGCCUGAGUGCCUUGAAUUGUAUUGUGAGCUUUUGCAUUAAUCCUUUGGAGUAAGAGAUUUGUUAACUAAUUUUGCAGAUUGAACUGCAAUCCCUUGCAACAUAUAUUUAGAUUAUACAGUCCAAAGAGUUUGAAAAGAAUCAGAAUGCCAUCUCAACCCCACAAUGAAGUGAGCCUCCAAAAGUAAACAUAGUAUUGUAAAGUAGACACAUAACUUAGUACUGCUAUCAAAUUUAGUUACUUCCUCCUGCUGCUCUGUGUGUGUGUGUGUGUGUGUGUGUGUGUGAGAGAGAGAGAGAGAGAGAGAGAGAGAGAGAGAGAGAGAGAGAUACAUAAAUACUACUGAAGAAUACAUAGCAAUUUUCCCCCUCUGGACUCCAGGAUACAAAUGACUGAGCAGCAAAUAAUGCAUGAUAUCUUCAAUCUGAUUGUACCCAAAUAUACAUUUCUGUUAUAUAACUGAGUUUCCAAGGUAUCUCCCAUCCAGAUAUACUGAGGGCAUCUGCUGGAACCUAAGAUCUGUCAAAGCUGUCAAAGCUGGGUAAAGGUCAUAGUCUCAAAAUAUUGGGGCACGGAAUGAUUAAUCUUGAUUUGGGGGUACCAAAUAGAAAAAAGAGCAUUAACAAUGGAUGUUCCAUCUUGAUUAGCAUUGUGAUAAAAAAAAAAUCUCAGUUCCUAAGAGUAUGUGGACUAAUAGGCAGACGUUUUCCUGUUAAAUCCUUAGUGCAUCUUGAAAUGUAGGUGCUCAACUUCCAAGCUUUGAUUGCUGCGACCUGCAAAGCUUAGUAAGAUUGUGGUCCUCCAGAUCAUUAAAUCUGUGCCAGUAUCUAAAGUAGGCUGAAUCAAUUCUGGCUGCAAACAGUAGAAGCCUCAGUUCAGCCCUGAGAUGGGUAGAUGCUGUCCCUGGGGAACGCCCCAGUGUUUGCCUCCUAAAGUUGGGUGACUGGCUAUCAAACUUAGUUACUCUCCCCAUAUACACACACUUUGACCUUGUGUGAGUGAGAGAGUGUGUGUGAUUGAUAACCGGUUUGAGUUUUAUUUGAUUUGAGUUAUUGAAUUUAUAUGCAGCUUUUCAUUCAAACAAAUCCCAAAGUGGCUUACAAGCAAUAAAUAACGAUUCCAUACUAAAACAGAAUACAUCACUAAUAUACAC